rnacentral:rRNA from 1 species
CCUACGGGAGGCUGCAGUGGGGAAUAUUGGACAAUGGGCGAAAGCCUGAUCCAGCCAUGCCGCGUGUGUGAAGAAGGCCUUCGGGUUGUAAAGCACUUUCAGUGGGGAAGAAAGCCUUGGGGCUAAUACCCUCGAGGAAGGACAUCACCCACAGAAGAAGCACCGGCUAACUCCGUGCCAGCAGCCGCGGUAAUACGGAGGGUGCGAGCGUUAAUCGGAAUUACUGGGCGUAAAGCGCGCGUAGGCGGUCUGAUAAGCCGGUUGUGAAAGCCCCGGGCUCAACCUGGGAACGGCAUCCGGAACUGUCAGGCUAGAGUGCAGGAGAGGAAGGUAGAAUUCCCGGUGUAGCGGUGAAAUGCGUAGAGAUCGGGAGGAAUACCAGUGGCGAAGGCGGCCUUCUGGACUGACACUGACGCUGAGGUGCGAAAGCGUGGGUAGCAAACAGGAUUAGAUACCCCGGUCGUC